CCAGCCAUCCCGCGUGUGCGAUGAAGGCCUUCGGGUUGUAAAGCACUUUUGGCAGGAAAGAAAUCGCAUGGGUUAAUAACCUGUGUGGAUGACGGUACCUGCAGAAUAAGCACCGGCUAACUACGUGCCAGCAGCCGCGGUAAUACGUAGGGUGCAAGCGUUAAUCGGAAUUACUGGGCGUAAAGCGUGCGCAGGCGGUUCGGAAAGAAAGGUGUGAAAUCCCAGGGCUUAACCUUGGAACUGCAUUUUUAACUACCGGGCUAGAGUAUGUCAGAGGGGGGUGGAAUUCCGCGUGUAGCAGUGAAAUGCGUAGAUAUGCGGAGGAACACCGAUGGCGAAGGCAGCCCCCUGGGAUAAUACUGACGCUCAUGCACGAAAGCGUGGGGAGCAAACAGGAUUAGAUACCCUGGUAGUCCACGCCCUAAACGAUGUCAACUAGCUGUUGGGGCCUUCGGGCCUUAGUAGCGCAGCUAACGCGUGAAGUUGACCGCCUGGGGAGUACGGUCGCAAGAUU
rnacentral:rRNA from 1 species